ACGAAGGGGGCUAGCGUUGCUCGGAAUGACUGGGCGUAAAGGGCGCGUAGGCGGUUAGCAUAGUCAGACGUGAAAUUCCUGGGCUUAACCUGGGGACUGCGUUUGAAACGUGUUGACUGGAGUUCGGAAGAGGGUUGUGGAAUUCCCAGUGUAGAGGUGAAAUUCGUAGAUAUUGGGAAGAACACCGGUGGCGAAGGCGGCAACCUGGUCCGAUACUGACGCUGAGGCGCGAAAGCGUGGGGAGCAAACAGGAUUAGAUACCCUGGUAGUCCACGCUGUAAACGAUGUGUGCUGGAUGUUGGGUGACCUAGUCACGCAGUGUCGUAGCUAACGCGGUAAGCACACCGCCUGGGGAGUACGGCCGCAAGGUUG
rnacentral:rRNA from 1 species